GACGAACGCUGGCGGCGUGCCUAAUACAUGCAAGUAGAACGCUGAAGGAGGAGCUUGCUCUUCUGGAUGAGUUGCGAACGGGUGAGUAACGCGUAGGUAACCUGCCUGGUAGCGGGGGAUAACUAUUGGAAACGAUAGCUAAUACCGCAUAACAGUAGAUGUUGCAUGACAUUUGCUUAAAAGGUGCAAUUGCACCACUACCAGAUGGACCUGCGUUGUAUUAGCUAGUUGGUGGGGUAGCGGCUCACCAAGGCGACGAUACAUAGCCGACCUGAGAGGGUGAUCGGCCACACUGGGACUGGGACACGGCCCAGACUCCUACGGGAGGCAGCAGUAGGGAAUCUUCGGCAAUGGACGGAAGGCUGACCGAGCAACGCCGCGUGAGUGAAGAAGGGUUUCGGAUCGUAAAGCUCUGUUGUAAGAGAAGAACGAGUGUGAGAGUGGAAAGUUCACACUGUGACGGUAUCUUACCAGAAAGGGACGGCUAACUACGUG
rnacentral:rRNA from 1 species